GUACACACCGCCCGUCAAGUCAUGAAAGUGGGCAGCACCCGAAGACGGUGGCCUAACCCUUGUGGGGGGAGCCGUCUAAGGUGAGGCUCGUGAUUGGGACUAAGUCGUAACAAGGUAUC
rnacentral:rRNA from 1 species